CCAAGUGCUUGACACCAUCACUGCAGUUUAACCAGAACCCUUCUGUAGGCCUUCCCAGGACCCUGCUGCUCUUCAGGCCCUUUCCUUAGGAACAGCUGUAUCCUGUGUGCUGGAUAAUGCAGGAACUCUUUCACCUCCCAGCUCGGCUUUGCAAAGGCAGAUGUGCAGCUGCUCCAGAGUUGUGCAGUUUUUGCAGUGCUGAGACUGUGGUUAUUGGAACUGUGCUCUCCUCCUGGCUGUGACUGAUACUGUCAACCUUUUGCAGGUGGGGGACAUCGUGUCUGUCAUUGACAUGCCACCAAAGGAACUGACCUCGUGGUGGAGAGGAAAACACGGGUUCCAGGUAGGCAGCAGCACAGCCAUGGCAGUGGGGCUGGAAUAAAAGCAGGAACCUCUGUGCUGUGUUCCUGGAGCUGCUGUGCCUGCUCAGGGGGGCUCAGGGGACGAGCAGGGUGUCCCUGCCUUGGUGUCAGGGGACUCCCCUUCUCUCUGGGCUGGGCUGGGGCUGGAGCAGACUCAGGGUCUCCACUGGAAGUUUCCUUCCUCCCUCACCACGGGAGGAGGGUUGGCCAUGGCCUGUGAUGGACAGCUGGCCUGAUGGCAGUGGAAGCUUGUGCUGCGCCCCUCCAAGGCAGCUGACACUCUCACUCACAUCAUCCUCUUCCUUCCAGUAGCUAAAACCAGACCAGGCAGAACAUAGAGGAUUUGGAGAAUUCCAGCUGAGGAAACAGUGCUGCUGACUUAGACCAGCCACCCAUGUACGCCUGUGUUCACUGUGUGGUGUCAGUGCUGCUGGUCCCUGUAAACAUCACAGCACAGAGAUGGAGACUGAAUUUUCAAGAGGUCCUAAGCAUGCCUGGGGAUUAGGUACCAAACCUUGUGUGUUGAAGUGGCACUGUCCUUCCAGGGAAUUUUUGUUCCUUUGGAUUUUGCCAUUAGGAAAUGUAAAAGCUUUAAAAGUCUCUUUUAACCAAGCAAACCCCAGAGCCACUGGGGGUUGGAGGGCUGACUUGUGCCAUCUCACAUUUCAGCUGCUUUCAGCCAGGGAUUUCCAUCUGCAGCUGCCGUCUGUGAGUGCAUGUGAUGAGGAGUUUGCUCUGCAGAGGCUCAGCAUUGACCAGACACUUGUGUAAUUUGGCAUGGAAAGUCUUCUCAAGGUCCUCAGGUUUUCCCUGGCAGCCCUUCCUGUGCCAGACCAGGCUGUGGGCUGGCUGUUGUCAGUGCCCAGCAGUUGGAUCUCCCAGUCCCAGCUGGAUGCAGUGACUUACACCAUCCUGUGCUGUCUGCUCAGCCAGGGCACGUGAGACACAGCCUGUGUUGGUUAUGUGUCAGGUGUGGGAGUUCAGGUGACACAGAGCAGCAUGGAUAUAGACUAGCUGCUCUGGAGUUUCAUUUGUUUCUAGAAUCAACACGCUGGUACUACUUUAACAAACUUCUGCUUCUGGACUGUGUUGUGCCUUUGCUGGACUUGAGUUCUAAUCUUAGAAGCCUUAAAGCUGAAUAUGCUGUACUGUCAUGGAAUCAGAGAAUGGCUUGGGCUGGAUGGGACCUCAGACAUCAGUGCCAACCCUCAGUCAAUUAAAUGCUGUAAUGCUGCUUGGAAUGAUCAGCCUAUGCCAUGAUUAACUUCCAAGUGAAUCAAUAAAUCAGAAGAAAGCUACUCUGUGGUUUAUGCCUGAGUGUGGGCACUUUGCACAGGGUUAGGAAGCCCUGUGUGGGACGUAGAUCCCAUUAUUCAGUGUGGCUGACAUUUGGGCUAGGUCUGGAGAGCAGCAGUGCUGAUUAAAAGCACAAAAGCAAGGCAGCCCUUCUGCAGUUUGUCACAGCUUUGUGCCUCCCAGAUCACAGUGAUGCUGUUGUGUUUUCCCAGCAUAAAAACAUGGUGAUGAGCAAACUGCCAGAAUUUUCUGUGUACCUGCACAGUCAGGCUCCUGACACUACAGAUAUGAGCAGCUGCAGAAGUACAGCACCAUAUUCUGGCUUAACAGAAAAUUAGGGGUGGAAUAAUCUUGUGCCCUUAAUGACAAGCAGGAGUGGUCACAGUGUGAACAGGUGACAGCCACACACACCAUGGAGAUGCAGCUCUGUGUUCCCACAGCUCCAGGAGCUUGGUUUGCUCAAAGUCUUAACCUGUGUGUUGUUUAUGGUUUGUGAGUUCCAAAUGUACAGAAAAUGUAUGUUUCCUGAUGGAAUGGAGGCUUUGGAUAAUACAAGCAGUAAGAAUUCAGAGAAAGGGAAUUUAUCUCUGGUGUUGCUACACCAGACCUAGAGAUGACUUACAGGCAGAAGUGCCCAUGAUGGAUGCUCAGAAAGAGUGUGUAGGUGAAGAAUGUUGUUACAGCAAGAGGUGUAGGCACAGAUUAAGCUGUGCAGCCUCUAAAGCAUUUGUUAGAGGCAAAUAGUUCUGUUCCUGUUUAGGAACAUUGCAAUGAUAGCAAUCUGUUGAUCCAGUCAUUUGAAUUAAUAAAAUAAAUCAACAGAGCCCCUCUUGCCAGAUAGUUGUGAUUCUGAGAGCAGAUAAAAGGAGGAGGUCCUGCCACCAAAUGUUUGGACAGCUUGUCCUGUUAUUGCUUGGGUUUUUGCUUCAUGUUAGGGAGGAGCAGGGUUUUAUCAACCAACCACAGCUUCCAUUAGAAAUCAUGUCUUGACAGGAGUAAAGCAGGAACAAGAAGAAUAUUUUUUGUUUGGCUGAGGGGGGAAAAAUUACUUUUGACUUAAAGAAGCUCCCCUGUUUUUGUGCAUUUGAAGCAGCUGUGAGUUGUGUGUGCCCAGACAGAAGUGCCUUCACUCCUGCCUGUGCUGCAUCCCUUGGGAUAAUGGGAGGGCUGUGGUGAGGAACUGGAGAUCUGAGCCAAAAACUGUCUCUGACAGGCUGCAAGCACCUGCAGCUUGGAUUCAGCAUGGAAGUCAGAGUGUUCCUGCAGCCAGAGCUGUCCUUCAGGGAUGACUCGCUGGGUUUGUAUCCAUCACACUUCCCUGGCACAGUGCCUGUUCUCUCUGCAUACCUGAGCUCACGACUGCAUUGCAACACACCUAAUCCUGUGUGAACAAAACAACCCACGAGGCUUCUUAGCAUUUGCUCUGCUUAAAGUAAAAUUAUUUUUAAGACAUUUUUCCUCAAGCCUUUUGCUCUUCCAAUGCCCUAAGUAUGAGUCAGUACUUUCUCUGUAAGGUUGUUACCUAAAUUACAGCCACCUCCACAUUAACAACCUUCAGCCCUCUUUGUUCUGCUUUGCUUUUGCUUCAUGCUUUGUCUUUUAAAUCAGCUCUGUGUCGGGGAGCUGAGUCACUGGGGACAGGCCCUUGUUUGAUGCAUAACUGCCUUUGGUUGUCCUGAAUUAUUCUGGUUUUUGGGAAUAGUUUCCUGAGGUCGAGAGCUGCCCCACAACCUGCGCUGCUGGAGAGGUGACAAAACCAGGGUGUACAGCCAAGGGGGGCUGGGCUGAUUUUAAUCACACUGAGAUUGCAGCAGCCACAGCUGGUUGUGAGUCUGCCAGUCUCAGUUCCAUGGAAGCCCAGAAUGGUUUGGGCUGGGAGGGGACCUUGGGGAUCCCACCCCUCCCAUGGGCAGGGACACCUUCCAUACCCACACUCCAUCCAGCCUGGCCUUGGGCACUGCCAGGGAUCCAGGGGCAGCCACAGCUGCUCUGGGCACCUGUGCCAGGGCCUGCCCACCCUCCCAGGGAACAAUUCCUAAUUCCCAAUACCCCAUCCAUCCCUGCCCUCUGGCAGUGGGAGCCAUUCCCUGUGUCCUGUGCCUCCGUCCCUUGUCCCCAGACCCUCUCCAGCUCUCCGGUUUCCCAAAGUGCUUACCAUCCCACACAUUUUCUUUGUGAAUAAAAGAAAUCAAAAUAGUUUUAUGGCUCAGGUGUUCAACUCUCUUUAACAGGAGCUUAGGAUAAGAGGAGUAAUAAUCCUGUUCCUCCUGUUAGUAGUGCCCUAAAGUGAAAGAGCAUCUCAGCAGGGGCUCUGUUGGGAAUGAGGUGAGGGUGUCCUGCUCUCUGUGUAGUCACUUGGCAAAGACCAGUGAAAAUUCUCCUCAGGAAGGCCAAAUAGGCCAUAAAAAAUUGCAGUUUCCCUGUUUUACUAGACUGUUAUCGGAUUUAAAAGGAAAAGAGAAAACUUUUUGACUAAAAUUGAAUCCACACUGUAGAUUACGUCAAACCCAAAAAAAACAA
rnacentral:lncRNA from 1 species